rnacentral:rRNA from 1 species
AUACGUAGGGGGCGAGCGUUGUCCGGAAUGAUUGGGCGUAAAGGGCGCGUAGGCGGCGCGGUAAGUCUGGAGUGAAAGUCCUGCUUUCAAGGUGGGAAUUGCUUUGGAUACUGCCGCGCUUGAGUGCAGGAGAGGUUAUCGGAAUUCCCGGUGUAGCGGUGAAAUGCGUAGAGAUCGGGAGGAACACCAGUGGCGAAGGCGGGUAACUGGACUGCAACUGACGCUGAGGCGCGAAAGUGUGGGGAGCAAACAGGAUUAGAUACCCUGGUAGUCCACACUGUAAACGAUGAAUGCUAGGUGUAAGAGGUAUCGACCCCUUCUGUGCCGCAGUCAACACAAUAAGCAUUCCGCCUGGGGAGUACGGCCGCAAGGUUGAAACUCAAAUGAAUUGACGGGG